rnacentral:rRNA from 1 species
GAUGAACGCUAGCUACAGGCUUAACACAUGCAAGUCGAGGGGAAACGCCGUCGAAAGCUUGCUUUUGAUGGGCGUCGACCGGCGCACGGGUGAGUAACGCGUAUCCAACCUGCCCAUCACUUGGGAAUAACCUUGCGAAAGUAAGACUAAUACCCAAUGAUAUCCCACGAAGGCAUCGGAAUGGGAUUAAAGAUUUAUCGGUGAUGGAUGGGGAUGCGUCUGAUUAGCUUGUUGGCGGGGUAACGGCCCACCAAGGCAACGAUCAGUAGGGGUUCUGAGAGGAAGGUCCCCCACAUUGGAACUGAGACACGGGCCAAACUCCUACGGGAGGCAGCAGUGAGGAAUAUUGGUCAAUGGGCGAGAGCCUGAACCAGCCAAGUAGCGUGCAGGAAGACGGCCCUAUGGGUGGUAAACUGCUUUUAUAAGGGAAUAAAGUGGGUCACGUGUGACUUUUUGCAUGUACCUUAUGAAUAAGGACCGGCUAAUUCCGUG